UACGUAGGGGGCUAGCGUUGUCCGGAAUCAUUGGGCGUAAAGCGCGCGUAGGCGGCCCGGUAAGUCCGUUGUGAAAGUCAAAGGCUCAACCUUUGAAAGCCGAUGGAUACUGCCGGGCUAGAGUCCGGAAGAGGCGAGUGGAAUUCCUGGUGUAGCGGUGGAAUGCGCAGAUAUCAGGAGGAACACCGAUAGCGAAGGCAGCUCGCUGGGACGGUACUGACGCUGAGGUGCGAAAGCGUGGGGAGCAAACAGG
rnacentral:rRNA from 1 species